rfam:Ovis aries breed Texel chromosome 8, whole genome shotgun sequence.
UCCCUGGUGGUCUGGUGGUUAAGACUUUGUGCUUCCAGUGCAAGAUGGCACAGGUUCAAUUCCUGGUCAGGGAA